UACGGGAGAAAGCAGGGGACCUUCGGGCCUUGCGCUAUCAGAUGAGCCUAGGUCGGAUUAGCUAGUUGGUGGGGUAAUGGCUCACCAAGGCGACGAUCCGUAACUGGUCUGAGAGGAUGAUCAGUCACACUGGAACUGAGACACGGUCCAGACUCCUACGGGAGGCAGCAGUGGGGAAUAUUGGACAAUGGGCGAAAGCCUGAUCCAGCCAUGCCGCGUGUGUGAAGAAGGUCUUCGGAUUGUAAAGCACUUUAAGUUGGGAGGAAGGGCAUUUACCUAAUACGUAAGUGUUUUGACGUU
rnacentral:rRNA from 1 species